AAGAAGGCUUUCGGGUCGUAAAACUCUGUUGUUGGAGAAGAAUGGUCGGCAGAGUAACUGUUGUCGGCGUGACGGUAUCCAACCAGAAAGCCACGGCUAACUACGUGCCAGCAGCCGCGGUAAUACGUAGGUGGCAAGCGUUAUCCGGAUUUAUUGGGCGUAAAGCGAGCGCAGGCGGUUUUUUAAGUCUGAUGUGAAAGCCCUCGGCUUAACCGAGGAAGUGCAUCGGAAACUGGGAAACUUGAGUGCGGAAGAGGACAGUGGAACUCCAUGUGUAGCGGUGAAAUGCGUAGAUAUAUGGAAGAACACCAGUGGCGAAGGCGGCUGUCUGGUCUGUAACUGACGCUGAGGCUCGAAAGCAUGGGUAGCGAACAGGAUUAGAUACCCUGGUAGUCCAUGCCGUAAACGAUGAAUGCUAGGUGUUGGAGGGUUUCCGCCCUUCAGUGCCGCAGCUAACGCAUUAAGCAUUCCGCCUGGGGAGUACGACCGCAAGGUUGAAACUCAAAGGAAUUGACGGGGGCCCGCACAAGCGGUGGAGCAUGUGGUUUAAUUCGAAGCAAC
rnacentral:rRNA from 2 species